rnacentral:rRNA from 1 species
UUAUAUGAGAGUUUGAUCCUGGCUCAGGACGAACGCUGGCGGCGUGCCUAAUACAUGCAAGUCGAACGCUUUUUCUUUCACCGGAGCUUGCUCCACCGAAAGAAAAAGAGUGGCGAACGGGUGAGUAACACGUGGGUAACCUGCCCAUCAGAAGGGGAUAACACUUGGAAACAGGUGCUAAUACCGUAUAACAAGUAAAACCGCAUGGCUUUACUUUGAAAGGCGCUUUUGCGUCACUGAUGGAUGGACCCGCGGUGCAUUAGCUAGUUGGUGAGGUAACGGCUCA